UACGUAGGGGGCUAGCGUUGUCCGGAAUCAUUGGGCGUAAAGCGCGCGUAGGCGGCCCGGUAAGUCCGCUGUGAAAGUCAAAGGCUCAACCUUUGAAUGUCAGCGGAUACUGCCGGGCUAGAGUCCGGAAGAGGCGAGUGGAAUUCCUGGUGUAGCGGUGGAAUGCGCAGAUAUCAGGAGGAACACCCGUGGCGAAAGCGGCUCUCUGGGACGGUACUGACGCUGAGACGCGAAAGCGUGGGGAGCAAACAGG
rnacentral:rRNA from 1 species